rnacentral:snRNA from 1 species
GGCAGUCGCAGUUAUCAUUAGCA